GGGCCCGCACAAGCGGUGGAGUAUGUGGUUUAAUUCGAUGCAACGCGAAGAACCUUACCUGGUCUUGACAUGCCCGUCAUAGUUUUUCCGAAAGGAAUUCGUCAGUUCGGCUGGACGGUGCACAGGUGCUGCAUGGCUGUCGUCAGCUCGUGUCGUGAGAUGUUCGGUUAAGUCCGGCAACGAGCGCAACCCUCGUUUCCAGUUGCCAGCGGGUAAUGCCGGGGACUCUGGAAAGACAAACCUCUUGUUGAGGUGGGAAGGUGGGGACGACGUCAAGUCAGUAUGGCCCUUACGACCAGGGCUGCACACGUGCUACAAUGCCCGGCACAAUGGGAUGCAAUAUCGCGAGAUU
rnacentral:rRNA from 1 species